AUAUACAAUACAUCAAGGGGUAUUUCAAAAGGACCAGGUUUUAAACAAUUGACAGGUAAUCUUAAACAAAAUGGUGGUGUUGAAUGUGGAUAUUGUGUGAUGCGGUACAUGAAAGAGAUAGUCUUAGAUGAAUAUCCACAAUUGGAGAGAAAGUUUGCAGCAUCAAAAAACAAACAGUAUUACAAUCAAUCUCAGUAUGAUGAAGUCAGAAGUGAAUGGAGCGAAUUUGUCUAUUUCUAUGUGGAUGCCUAAGUGUAGGCUAUGAGAUAAAGUUUAGAUUGUAUUUAGAGAUUUAUGGAUACAAAAGUUUUUGGAUUAUGUUUAAACAUUUCUUUUAUGAAUACACUUUUGAAUUGUAUUUGACAGAUAUUUGUGAUAU